UCUGGAAAGGACCACCACAGAGGGUGACAGUCCCGUAAACGAAAGGGGUAGGCUCCUUACCUGUCCUUGAGUACCACGGGACACGAGGAAUCCUGUGGGAAUCUGCCCUGACCACAGGGCAAGGCUAAAUACCCUUGAUGACCGAUAGUGAACUAGUACCGUGAGGGAAAGGUGAAAAGCACCCCGGGAGGGGAGUGAAAUAGACCUGAAACCGUGUGCUUACAAGCAGUCAGAGUCCUUCCAGCAAUGGGAGGAUGAUGGCGUGCCUAUUGAAGAAUGAGCCGGUGAGUUAAUCUGUGUGGCUGGUUAAGCAACUGACGUUGCGGAGCCGAAGCGAAAGCGAGUCCGAAUAGGGCGAUUUGGUCGCAUGGAUUAGACCCGAAGCCGGGUGAGCUACCCAUGGCCAGGGUGAAGCUUCGAUAGAAUCGAAGUGGAGGCCCGAACCUGUCAGCGUUGCAAAGCUGUAGGAUGAGCUGUGGGUAGAGGUGAAAUGCCAAACGAACUCGGAGAUAGCUGGUUCUCCCCGAAAUGCAUUGAGGUGCAGCCUCAGGUGAUCGUUAAUGGAGGUAGGGCUCUGGAUGGACUAGGUGGGAGAGUAUCUUGCCAACUCCAACCAAACCAUGAAUGCCAUUAACCUCAGCCUGGGAGUGAGACUAUGGGGGAUAAGCUUCAUAGUCGAGAGGGAAACAGCCCAGACCAUCAGCUAAGGUCCCCAAGUGCAGGCUAAGUGGGAAAGGAAGUAGGAUUGCCCAGACAGCCAGGAGGUUGGCUUAGAAGCAGCCACCCUUUAAAGAGUGCGUAAUAGCUCACUGGUUGAGUGGUCAUGCGCCGAUAAUCCACCGGGGCUCAAGUCUGCCACCGAAGCUAUGGAUCCCAGCUUGCUGGGAUGGUAGGGGAGCGUUCCCUUGGCCGUGAAGUCGUUCCGUGAGGAGUGGUGGAGCUAAGGGAAGUGAGAAUGCCGGCAUGAGUAGCGUAAGGUGUGUGAGAAACACACCCACCGAAAACCUAAGGUUUCCUACGGAAGGUUAAUCCGCGUAGGGUUAGUCGGGCCUAAGCCGAGGCCGAAAGGCGUAGGCGAUGGACAACGGGUUAUUAUUCCCGUACCGCUGUUAUGGAGGCAAAGGGGGGACACGGAAGGGUAGGCUGAGCGUGCCUAAUGGACAUGGUGCGUCCGUCACACUAGGUGAUGCCGGGGCAGGUAAAUCCACCCCGGAUAUUAAGCUGAAGGUGGCGGGAAGUUGCGGGGAGACCCAAGGCGACUCAGCUGAACCCAUGCCGUCAAGAAAAGCUUCGUUGCCGUUGAAGUAGAAGCGCCCGUACCGCAAACCGACUCUGGUAGG
rnacentral:rRNA from 1 species